UUCUCAAAGUCUCAAAAUGCCAUGAGGAG
rnacentral:piRNA from 1 species